CGGGCAACCAUAGCUGAGUCUACAUGCUAAUAGAAACAUGUACCCACACAACAGAAGUGCCGUCUUGGUUUGCUUUUCCCAGGCAUAGUUUUAAUUAACCAGACAGUGACCGAGGAAUGAUGCCUAAAUUCGAGUUUCGGGUCUUUUUUUUUUUUAAAUUCUUGAUAGUAUUCGGGACGCUAAGCGCCACUCAAAUUUGAUUAAAACAGAAGAAAGUAUUUACGGAGGCA
rnacentral:lncRNA from 1 species